GAUGAACGCUGGCGGCGUGCCUAAUACAUGCAAGUCGAGCGAACAGACGAGGAGCUUGCUCCUCUGACGUUAGCGGCGGACGGGUGAGUAACACGUGGAUAACCUACCUAUAAGACUGGGAUAACUUCGGGAAACCGGAGCUAAUACCGGAUAAUAUAUUGAACCGCAUGGUUCAAUAGUGAAAGACGGUUUUGCUGUCACUUAUCGAUGGAUCCGCGCCGCAUUAGCUAGUUGGUAAGGUAACGGCUUACCAAGGCAACGAUGCGUAGCCGACCUGAGAGGGGGAUCGGCCACACUGGAACUGAGACACGGUCCAGACUCCUGCGGGAGGCAGCAGACGGGAAUCGUCCGCAAUGGGCGAAAGCCUGACGGAGCAACGCCGCGUGAGUGAUGAAGGUCUUCGGAGCGUAAAACUCUGUUAUUAGGGAAGAACAAAUGUGUAAGUAACUAUGCACGUCUUGACGGUACCUAAUCAGAAAGCCACGGCUAACUACGUG
rnacentral:rRNA from 1 species